CCAAAGUCGCGUGGGUGAGGAGGCUUUCGGGUUGUAAGCUCUUUCGUUGGGGAAGAAAAGUUGGCGCUUAAUACGGGCGCCCUUGACCUUACCCACACAAGAAGCCCCGGCUAACUCCGUGCCCGCAGCCCCGGUAAUACCGAGGGUGCAAGCGUUAAUCGGAAUUACUGGGCGUAAAGCGCGCGUAGGCGGUUUGAUAAGCCAGAUGUGAAAGCCCCGGGCUUAACCUGGGAACGGCAUUUGGAACUGGCAGGCUUGAGUGCGGGAGAGGGAAGUGGAAUUUCCUGUGUAGCGGUGAAAUGCGUAAAUAUUGGGAGGAACACCAGUGGCGAAGGCGGCCUUCUGGACCGACACUGACCCUGAAGUGCGAAAGCGUGGGGAGCCAACAGGAUUAAAUACCCUGGUAAUCCACGCCGUAAACGAUGUAGAGUAAGCGUUGGGAGGCUUGCCGUCCUUUAGGCGCAAUUUAAGCGCUUUAUCGACCCCCUGGGGAGUAUAGCCCCGAGG
rnacentral:rRNA from 1 species